GUUCAGUCGCCGACGAACCUCUCACACGAUUUGUGGUAAAAGCGCUUUGAGGUGCACGCGUACAGGUCGCCAGCCUGAAAAUUUCAAACAAUUUAAGCAAAAAAUUUAAUAUCAAGUGAAUAUCAUAUAAAGAAAGUGGAAAAGGAACAAAAAAUUAUAUAUAUUUCUGGAUGUUUGUGCAUUGCUGCGCUGCACUAAAGUGGAACAACAGUUAUUUUGAGCAAUCGGCCGAAAAUGCGUGGCAGUGCGGCAGUAAAACGAAGCAAAUAAAACGGAAAAAAGUUUCAAAAUUCUUUUGGUAGGAAAUGGCUUGUAAAGUUUUAAGCUUAAACUUUAUCUAAAUCGUGAACGAAAAAUAUUAUACUAACAAUAACAAUAUAAACGACUCCAAUCGGCACGAAGCCAGUGGGAAAUAGCUACAAAAAAGCUAUGCCUGCAGAUUCCAGCAUCCAACUAAAAAUAAAAAUAUUCAUAAAAGCUCUAAAUUAUAUUCCAUUAAAGUAUAACUUUCUGCAUAAAUCAUAAAAUUAUAUGAAAAGUGCUAAAAAUUAAAAUAUAGAACAACAAAAAAAAAAGAAAAUCGCAAAACUUUAAAAAUUGCUUCUUAAACUCCGUAAACUUAAUGCUAGUAAAAUAAAUAAGUUAAAAAGCUUCCGCUAAUUAAAAUACAAAUUAAAUAAUAUAAGUUUGUGUAAGAUAUAUAUAUUAGCUAAUAAUUUGAAUUACAUAACAAUCAAGAAAAAAUAAGUAGGAAGUGCGCGCGAUUUUUUUCUGAAAAAGUGGUUUUGUUGGUUGAGAGUAAGUCAGAAAUAAAAUAUAAAAUCACGUGAGCGCGGAAAAUCGCGCGAAAAAAAUUAAUUUAAUUACGAAAUAUAAAUGUAAUAAUUAUACUGCUGUUAUCAAUAUAACAAAAAAGUUAUGUUAUUAAUAAAUAUAUAGUCGUAAAAGCAUGCAUAGUGUCAAAACUAAAAAUUUAAUAUUAUAAUAAAAUAUAAAAAUUAAUUGAAUAAAAAUUUAAAAAUUCAAAAGCAUGCAUAGUGGUCACUUAAGCAUUAAAAUUAACAAAAACCAACAAUAACAAAAAUAUAGUAAUAAUUGUGUUAUUAAGCAGGCGAAAUAACUUAAAAGCAUUUGCUGCGGCACGAGCAUGGCAUUGGCGCACGCAAAAGACCAAAAGCCUGCGUAAUUUGCUCAAUUAUGUCUCCACACAAUGUGCGUCAUUGCGUAUGAGCAACAAUGUCCGGCAUACUAAUGCACAGCUGUAGCAAGGACACUAACAAAACAAUAGCCAGCGUCUACCAUACGGUGGAACGCAUUUAAAGACAUCAUCUAUUAAAAAUAAAUAAUAAUACAGUCGCCAAACUUGGACGGCAACGGAAUUUGCGCAAAAUGCCGCAACGGAACGCCGAGUACAACGACACAGAAGCAAUGGCUUGGCCCGGCCGUAUAGCGGCACUGAGCCAGCUAAUGCCCGCGAUGCUCGUGAAGCAGUUGACUUGUGAAUUCAUUAAAAAUGCAUGGCCUGUAAUAACGGCGAAACCAACAGCAACAACAAAUUUCGUUGAACUGUCUUCGAAGACCACGAAGAACGCGCAUGCCGACGAAGCCAAAGAGAUAAAGGCGUCAAAUUCAAAAGAGAUAGCACAAAUUGUUGCAGUGCAAUAGAGAAA